AUUGAACGCUGGCGGCAUGCCUUACACAUGCGAGUCGAACGGCAGCACGGGAGCAAUCCUGGUGGCGAGUGGCGAACGGGUGAGUAAUGUAUCGGAACGUACCUUUCAGUGGGGGAUAGCGUAGCGAAAGUUACGCUAAUACCGCAUAUUCUGUGAGCAGGAAAGCAGGGGAUCGCAAGACCUUGCGCUGAUUGAGCGGCCGAUAUCAGAUUAGCUAGUUGGUGAGGUAAAGGCUCACCAAGGCGACGAUCUGUAGCGGGUCUGAGAGGAUGAUCCGGCACACUGCAACAGAGACACGGUCCAGACACCUACGGUAGGCAGCAGUGGGGAAUUUUGGACAAUGGGCGCAAGCCUGAUCCAGCCAUGCCGCGUGAGUGAAGAAGGCCUUCGGGUUGUAAAGCUCUUUCGGCCGGGAAGAAAUCGUGUGGGUUAAUACCCUGCAUGGAUGACGGUACCGGAAUAAGAAGCACCGGCUAACUACGUGCCAGCCGCCGCCGUAAGAC
rnacentral:rRNA from 1 species